rnacentral:rRNA from 1 species
AACGAACGCUGGCGGCAGGCCUAACACAUGCAAGUCGAGCGAGGACUUCGGUUCUAGCGGCGGACGGGUGAGUAACGCGUGGGAAUGUGCCCUUCUCUACGGAAUAGCCCUGGGAAACUGGGAGUAAUACCGUAUACGCCCUAUUGGGGAAAGAUUUAUCGGAGAAGGAUCAGCCCGCGUUGGAUUAGGUAGUUGGUGGGGUAAUGGCCUACCACGCCGCCGAUCCAUAGCUGGUUUGAGAGGAUGAUCAGCCACACUGGGACUGAGACACGGCCCAGACUCCUACGGGAGGCAGCAGUGGGGAAUCUUAGACAAUGGGGGCAACCCUGAUCGAGCCAUGCCGCGUGAGUGAUGAAGGCCUUAGGGUUGUAAAGCUCUUUCAGCUGGGAAGAUAAUGACGGUACCAGCAGAAGAAGCCCCGGCUAACUCCGUG